AUUGAACGCUGGCGGCAGGCCUAACACAUGCAAGUCGAACGAGUGGCGGACUGGUGAGUAAUGUCUGGGAAACUGCCUGAUGGAGGGGGAUAACUACUGGAAACGGUAGCUAAUACCGCAUACCAUCAGAUGUGCCCAGAUGGGAUUAGCUAUUUGGUGGGGGCACGGCUCACAAAGGCGACGAUCCCGAGCAGGUCUGAAAGGAUGACCGGCCACUAUGGAACUGAGACACGGUCCAGCCUCCUACGGGAGGCAGCAGUGGUGAAUAUUGCACAAUGGGGGCAAGCAUGAUGCAGCCAUGCCGCGUGUAUGAAGAAGGCCUUCGGGUUGUAAAGUACUUUCAGCGGGGAGGCGUUACCCGCAGAAGAAGCACCGGCUAACUCCGUGCCAGCAGCCGCGGUAAUUC
rnacentral:rRNA from 1 species